CAAGUCGAGCGGCAGCGCGGGGCAACCUGGCGGCGAGCGGCGAACGGGUGCGUAACACAUCGGAACAUGUCCAUUCGUGGGGGAUAGCCCGGCGAAAGCCGGAUUAAUACCGCAUGAGCCCGAGAGGGGAAAGUGGGGGACCGCAAGGCCUCACGCGGAUGGGUUGGCCGAUGUCCGAUUAGCUAGUUGGCGGGGUAAGAGCCCACCAAGGCGAUGAUCGGUAGCUGGUCUGAGAGGAUGAUCAGCCACACUGGGACUGAGACACGGCCCAGACUCCUACGGGAGGCAGCAGUGGGGAAUUUUGGACAAUGGGGGCAACCCUGAUCCAGCCAUUCCGCGUGAGUGAAGAAGGCCUUCGGGUUGUAAAGCUCUUUUGUCCGGAGCGAAAAGGUUACGGUGAAUAUCCGUGACUACUGACGGUACCGGAAGAAUAAGCACCGGCUAACUACGUGCCAGCAGCCGCGGUAAUACGUAGGGUGCGAGCGUUAAUCGGAAUUACUGGGCGUAAAGCGUGCGCAGGCGGUUUUGUAAGCCAGAUGUGAAAGCCCCGGGCUUAACCUGGGAAUGGCAUUUGGGACUGCAAGGCUGGAGUGUGGCAGAGGAGACUGGAAUUCCUGGUGUAGCAGUGAAAUGCGUANAUAUCAGGAGGAAUACCGAUGGCGAAGGCAGGUCUCUGGGCUGACACUGACGCUCAUGCACGAAAGCGUGGGGAGCAAACGGGAUUAGAUACCCUGGUAGUCCACGCCCUAAACGAUGUCGACUGGUUGUUGGGGGGUUUGACACUCUCAGUAACGAAGCUAACGCGUGAAGUCGACCGCCUGGGGAGUACGGCCGCAAGGUUAAAACUCAAAGGAAUUGACGGGGACCCGCACAAGCG
rnacentral:rRNA from 1 species